GCAUAUAUACGGUAAAGCCAGAGCAAUCUGGUGACACAAAGCUAUAGGGACUCUCCGAGUCAGCCAGUUGCAUGU
rfam:Butyrivibrio fibrisolvens DSM 3071 genome assembly, contig: EJ22DRAFT_scaffold00017.17